AUGGUCUUAAAAUGGUGUGAAUACUCAGAAUAUUCAAUUUUGUCAUUGUUCAUCCCCCAGGAGAACCUCCUUAUUUAUUCCACAGAGGUGGAUCCUGCCCUGGUGAAACAUCAGUGUGAAAGCACUGGGCAGCAGCCAGCCUUUUCCAGAGGCUGUGGAGACACCAUGAGGUUAAGCUAUGGACUUCCUGAAGGAGAAAAAGGGAUGCAACGACAACAGCAAAGAGUCAGAGGUUCAGAGAUCAUUUACAAAGCUUGUGUGACUUCCUGGACUGCUGAGUCCAAGCUGAGGUGGCACACGUGUCUGGGAAAAGAUAUUCCUGAGUUACAGAAGAGGUGUCGGGUGAGCUGGGAAAUGGGCAGAGGAGCAGGGCUACAGCAGAGCUGUGAUAAAUGAGUUACAAGACAGGAGCGGGAGCUGCGGGAACACGUGAGGUUUGCAGCUAUGGAGCCUUCACCCCACAAGAAUUGAUACCAGAUGACUCAGCCAUACAAAUCUGAUACAGAUCACACUGUGGGCAUGUGACUGCUUCCACCAAAUUAGAUACAGCACAUGAUGUGAGCCUGUGCCAGCUUCACUCAGGCUGUUGAAAGACAGACAAUAAGGAUGAAGAGACUUAAAGACAGCGUGGAGAAGUCAACCACCACCAAUUUAAACAGGGAUCUUCUCCCCAGAUUUUUUCCUCCAAAAUGGUGAACAAGCUUAAACCUGUGGUGGUGGGAUAUACUGGGACAGUGCUUUGCAUCACAGGGCCAUGACGUUUUCCACUCAGUAGCUGGAAAAACAAAGCCAGAUGAGCUGUGUCACUGACAGCAGCCAGUGCCGCACCGCAUGCAGGCGGAGGGGUGUGUGACACUCCCACAGCACAGGGACUCUGCUCAAGCAGCUGGGAACAGAAGGAAAGGGGGGUGAUUUCUACCUGAGACCCAAGGCAGCAGAUGGUGUUUAAAAGUUUGACUUUCUCAUGGCCUCACUGAAGAAUAUAGAUCUAAAACUCAGAUUAUAAUGCUUGCAGCAUCCCAGCAAUUCAGAUUUGCAAAACCCUGAAGAAACCCAUAACAACACACAGUCAAAAAAAACCCCAAACCAGCAACCCAGAUGCCAGACUCAAACCUUCUGGUCAGUUAAUUCAAGGCUAUUUUUCAUUUUACUUAUCACUGCCACCAACAUUUUGCUUAGUCUUGAAGAAAACAUUGUCAUUCCACAGUCAGAUGUUUCUACAUGUACAUCCAUCAUGGCCUGAUAUAUCCUGACCUAAGUUAAAACUUAUGUUUUCUAAAUUGUACUUUUAUGUUGAGCAAGUCCUUGGGCUACACUGUUAAAAGUUUACAUUGAAAAAUCAUUUAUAAUUGGUUUGUUUGAGUUUGCCUGCUUUGCCUGCUGCAAAGUCACCAGAAAGGGCAGUAUUAAUUAACAAUGGCUUACAUAGAGUCUAGACAAUAAAAAGUAAAUUAUUUUGCCUUUUUUAAAAGCUUUAAGCAUCUUACCAGUUCUAACAAAUGAAUCUUAUAUAAAUUACAUUUAAGGAAAAAAAAAUGCAGUAUAAUUUACAGCAAAGCUGUUCCAUUUGAAUAAUUUAUUUUUUCUUGAAAUAUUUUCAGGAUAUACACACAUUGCUCAAAUAAAAAUAUGAUUAUUGUGAAAUUGAGACAGCCAACAAAAAAUUUUAAUUUAUUCCAUUUGUUAUGCAAAAGCUUGGUUGGAGAAUUAAACAAUAAAUUUUAGUUUAUUGCAUAAUGUCCUAAGUUUCACUAUAAAAGACUUGUUUUCAUUUUGGGUACAUAAUGAUGAUAGUUGCACAGAAUUUUUAAAUAGUGCACACAAGAGAAGACUUUCCAGAGCUCUAACAAACCCUUUGCUGCACAUAUUGUUUCAGCAAAAUUAAGGAGGCAGUUCAUCUGGGUUAGACAUUGAGGGAUUGAGCUUUUAGUUCCAAACAUCCUUUCCAAGUAUCUGACAUAACUUUGCAAAGCCUUAUUAAACAUGAAUUAAUGAAUCAUUGGAGCUGAUUUUAUUUAUUCACAAUGUCACUGCGAAGAGACAGAGGAGUUUUGGAUCAUGGCACUCUGCAGCACUUGAUGUUAUUUUAGUUCAUAAUUGGUGGUGACGAAGCCACAAAACACUUAGAGCAUUUGGCUAAUGCCAAGAAAAUAUAAUAGCAGGCACAGAAUUUAUCUUACGUCUACCUUCAUUUGGAAGCAGAUUGCUUUGUCAUCCUUGAGGAGAUUGACAACAGAUCCCAAUUUCUGUAUUGGUUCAGAUCAUAACUCGCUGCCUGCCCAGCCCACAUGUGUUGCAGUUUAUCCUGCUGUCACCUGAUACCCCGGAGGUCAGCACGGCGGGGGGCACCGGGGAAGGACUGACAAUACAAAAAUGACUGUGAGCAAAAGGCAUUCUUCAGGGUUGAUUCUGAUCUCAGAGCAACCAAAGAUCAGCAUGUAUUUAAACAGAUAGGGUUACUUUAAAUAAAUGUACAGUAGCAAAAAUUCCAGGAAACCCUAAGGCAAACUGGAAAAGAUAAUCUGCUCUGCUUCCUUGUAGCCCUUUCCUAUUUUGUACUGAAAAAAACAAAGAAGUGGGGUUUUUUUUCCCAACACAAAGAACAGCUGAAAUAAGGAAAGGAGGGAGGACUAACAUACUUCUACCGCAGGGCUUUGCUCAGCCUGAAGACAACCUCUAACUCAAGAGACAUUCCCUUCUUUCAUUUCUCCCAUUUUUCACUGACAAAGGCAACAAACUGUAGGCAAAGACAAGAAAUGCAAAACUCCAUCCUUGAGCUGUUUCUUGAUCCCUUUCCUAUUUUUACUUCCCAUCUUCUAGUCUCUUACAGAACCAUCCUUUCCCAACAGCUCUAGGCACAUAAUUUUUGAAGUAAAUGAAGCUGAUUGAGAUGUUGCUGACCCAGGUUAAGCACAGAUUCAUGUCAUGAAAGCUAGAGGAGCUGUAUCAAUAUCAAACUGGUGUGAACAAAAGUAGAAUCAGACCCGAUGGUAUAAAGGUAUGGAAACAUAUAUGUCCCAGUUGCCUUCUAUUCACAUCAGUUUAAUGUUAAUGAGGUGCCAUCGGCUUCAGAGGAAUGGUUUCUGGCUUACAGAAGAAGAAGCAAUUGGAGAUGCCAACAGUGCAUGUGCUGUUUGGCACUGCUCUCCCUGUGCAGAACAGGAGCAGAAGUCCCAGGAAUGCCUUUCCCUGCCUGACCCUGCCUGAGCCCUCUCCCCUGCUCCCAGCUGAGGCUAUUCUUGCCCACCUACUCUAGCAAGAAGCUCCCACAUAUGUGCUUGGUGUCAAGCACAGCCAUAGGGUUCUCCCCAUCCUUUGGCACCACGUUCCGGUACGUGGCUGGGGAACAGUGACUGGCUCCGUGGCACAGCCCCUGUUUCCACACACAGCGUACUUGCCCAUGAGUCAGCCUCAAGGGCUUAUUUGUACCUAGUCUUGCUGCCAGGUUAAAGAGCAGUUACCACAGGCAAAGGGAAGGAAAUAUUUUACAGGUUUGUAAUUCAUUAAAGCAUUGGACCUGUUCCAAUACGAGUCUACUGUUGGGUAGGAGAGAAGACAUGUUCAGACUGUGGUCUACAAUGACACACUUGUAGUAUUUGUGAACAUUUCUAGUGACUGAAACUAUUUUCUGUGAGUUCUGCCUGUGCCAAGAGACUCAAGCACACAAAUUCGAGGUAAUGACCUUUUGCUUGCAUGAUUCAGGUAAGCCUGAAUUUCAGGUUUUAAUGGUAGAUUUAAGGGGGUCACUUCAACCGUGCACUGUAAGACAAACACUCCUGAAACAAAAAAAUUCCAGCAUAGCACAAACAACAAAAUCACCUUAAAUCUCUCAGGUGUGGUUCUUUGGUGCCUUAAGUGAUUUCUGUGCAUGUGAAGGAAAACACUUCAAGGAUCAUUUUGCUGGUAUUAUAGUUAUACCUUUACCUUGUUGGAGAAAAGAGUUCUUGUCUUUCCUCUUUUAGAAAAUCUGUAAAAUAGAAUUUACAAGACUUCAGAGCCUUUGGCCAGGAUCCAGAAAUCUGUACAUAUCUUCCUAUUAAUCAGAAAUGAAAAGUUUAAGUAGAAGUCAGUAAAAUUGUGUCUUCUGACAAAACUGAUGACCACCUCGUUGGCUUUGACACCACUGACUUUAGAUAUCAACCUCAGUCUCCUGUUACUUUCCAUCUUUUCCUAAUCAACAUCUUUCACAAUAUAAAUAAAGACUUAUUUGUUUUUAAAAUUCACAGAAAGCUUUAAAUUCCUU
rnacentral:lncRNA from 13 species